UGGGGAAUUUUGCGCAAUGGGCGAAAGCCUGACGCAGCAACGCCGCGUGAGUGAUGAAGGCUUUCGGGUCGUAAAGCUCUGUCAAGGGGAAAGAAGUGUAUUGUGGUUAAUACCUGCGAUACUUGACGGUACCCCUGAAGGAAGAACCGGCUAACUCCGUGCCAGCAGCCGCGGUAAUACGGGGGGUGCAAGCGUUGUUCGGAAUUAUUGGGCGUAAAGCGCGUGUAGGCGGUUUGUUAAGUCGGAUGUGAAAGCCCUGGGCUCAACCCAGGAAGUGCAUUGGAUACUGGCAGACGUGAAUACGGUAGAGGGUAGUGGAAUGCCGGGUGUAGGAGUGAAAUCCGUAGAUAUCAGGAGGAACACCGGUGGCGAAGGCGGCUACCUGGACCGAUAUUGACGCUGAGACGCGAAAGCGUGGGUAGCAAACA
rnacentral:rRNA from 1 species